CCCACAUAUGGUUAAUUUAAAACUGUUUUCUUUAAAAUAGUUUGUAAAAUUAUUGCCUUUUGAAUGGCUGAGUCUACCCUGGAAUCGAAGGGACAUCCUAAAUAGUCAGUGGGACCUGAAGGGGCUAAAGAUCACUGCAGCAGAAGCCAUAGAGACCUUCCUGUCAAAGGCAACGUAUUCAGGGGGCCAGGGAUCUGCCCUUUGUCAGGAUAUCAUGCCCUCUCUGAGCACUCAACCCCAUCAGGGCCUAUCUUCAGGAAACAGAUGGGGUCGGAGGCCAUUCCCUUGCCCCUCCAAACUGCUGAAAGCGGCACAUUGAGAGCCCACCUCCACAUAGCGGCCCUCCCGAAAACCUCCCACCCCUGGCAAGGCGCCCGCUCUGCACACACAUCUCAUUCAAGAAGUGAACCUUGCCUUAUUUACUUGCUUUAUCUCUCCUCCACGUCUCAGUGUUUUCUCUCUUUCUGGUUCGAGGGAGGAUGAGUGACUCAGUGCUAUGCCCUCCUCCACAGAGGGGGCGGAUCUGCCCUAUCUCGUACUGCCUCCCAGGGUAUGAGAGAAGAAGACAGUGCAAGAAGAAUGACCUCAGCCAGUGCCUUACAGUCAAACAUAUUGGCUUGGAGACAACAGUAUAAAACAAACAAAUAAAUGGGCCUAUAUACAAGGCUAAAUGAAAUUCCACUGUCUUAAAUGAGGAAGCCUUUGCCAAGAGACAUUACCAAGCUGUCAGCAUAACCUCAUUUCACUGUUACGUUUGUUUACUUGAUGUUUAUUAUUUGUUUGGUGUAUUGCUCUAAUAACACACAAACAUUAAGUUAUGUCUGUGGGAGAUGUAUAAACUGUAGUUUAAAAAUGUCCACACAGAAGGGACAUGUCGAACAAGAAUCUAUCUGCCUUUUUUUGGUAAAUCAGUUGAAUUCAUAUCAAUUAAUGUAAUAAAUUCAAUAUUAUUCAAAACUCUCAUGACAGUAAUAGUCAAAAUAUGUUUUUCUUUACAAAAAUGCAACUGAGUGAAACAUAAAUGCUGUAAAAUGUAAAUAAUCUCUGUGUGUUCACCAUUUUAAAAAUACUUUUUGCGAAUACAGAACCAAAUUAAC